CUCUGUUCAUAUUUUAAAGUGUUCAGGGCAGAAGGAG
rnacentral:ncRNA from 1 species